UAAUACAGAGGGGGCAAGCGUUGUUCGGAAUUACUGGGCGUAAAGGGCGCGUAGGCGGCCCUCUAAGUCAGACGUGAAAUCCCUCGGCUCAACCGGGGAACUGCGUCUGAGACUGGAAGGCUUGAAUUCGGGAGAGGGAUGUGGAAUUCCAGGUGUAGCGGUGAAAUGCGUAGAUAUCUGGAGGAACACCGGUGGCGAAGGCGGCAUCCUGGACCGAUAUUGACGCUGAUGCGCGAAAGCCAGGGGAGCAAACGGGAUUAGAUACCCCGGUAGUCCUGGCCCUAAACGAUGAAUGCUUGGUGUGGCGGGUAUCGAUCCCUGCCGUGCCGAAGCUAACGCAUUAAGCAUUCCGCCUGGGGAGUACGGUCGCAAGGCUG
rnacentral:rRNA from 1 species